UACGAAGGGUGCAAGCGUUACUCGGAAUUACUGGGCGUAAAGCGUGCGUAGGUGGUGAGUUAAGUCUGUCGUGAAAGCCCCGGCUCAACCUGGGAAUGGCGAUGGAUACUGGCUCGCUAGAGUGCGGUAGAGGAGAGUGGAAUUCCCGGUGUAGCAGUGAAAUGCGCAGAUAUCGGGAGGAACACCUAUGGCGAAGGCAGCUCGCUGGGACGUUACUGACGCUGAGACGCGAAGCGUGGGGGAGCAAACAGG
rnacentral:rRNA from 1 species